UGCGUAGGCGGGAGAUUAAGUCAGUGGUGAAAUCCUGCAGCUUAACUGUAGAAUUGCCAUUGAUACUGGUUUUCUUGAGUGUAGUUGAAGUGGGCGGAAUGUGUAUUGUAGCGGUGAAAUGCUUAGAUAUUACACAGAACACCUAUUGCGAAGGCAGCUCACUAAACUAAUACUGACGUUGAGGCACGAAAGCGUGGGGAGCAAACAGGAUUAGAUACCCUGGUAGUCC
rnacentral:rRNA from 1 species